rnacentral:lncRNA from 1 species
CCUAGUAGUACCUUAAGGUGGGGUAGGCAGUUGUGCUCGUGCGGCCGGUGUGCAUAGGCAAGAUUGCCUAAUGCUGGACUUGUGUGGAACACUGUAGAGGCGUAGAGCGCUCGAGUGUAGAUACCCGUAGAGUGCGGAUGUGGAUUCAGCCGAGAGAGUGUAUUGGCAGUAGCACUUGAGCAUUGCUAGGUGUGAAGCGUGCCAUGGAUCACUCGUGGGACUGGUGACUCGCACUAGGUGCAUAGGAGCCGAUAUUGGUACGUGUGACUCGGUAGAGUAUGUCGUGUAGGACGACGACGGCGGGUAGUGCUUGGGGACGACCCGUGCCUGGACCAUUUGUGGACUGUGGAGCCUGGGCCCAUUGGGCAGGCGCAGUCAGCUGUGAGUGACAGCGGCCCGGUACCUACGGGUAGGGCAGAGUUCUGGUCAGGACGGUAGUCCGAGCUUAGACCCGGGAGCGUGGAAUGCCACGUGAUAGAUUGUGUGACCGAUGGUACACCGAGUAUGGUUGUGACCCAACCCGAGGACUUGACGUGGUUUGGGGUCUUAGUUGCUCCUGGUUGGAGUGUGUGCGAAUUCCCAAGUGAGAAUUUCGCCCGAUGAUGAUUGGGUCUGCAUUUGCGAGCGAGAGACGCUGCGUAUUGAGACAGGUUUAGGCGGUAGGCCUACGUAGGAUUGGUGGCCUUUGGUCCACCUGUGGAGACCGAAGAAAGCGAUUUGGCAGAUAGCCAUAUCGAGGAGUUUGACUCGAAUUCACGAACGAAGCGCUCGUGUGAGCUCGUUGCGAAAAUAGUUUAAUGUUAAUCGUGGCACGUGGUAUUAGAUGAUGAAGUACUCCUUGUGAGACGU